GGGUAAGUCCUGUACGACCAGCUCCUUUCGAACUCCCCCAGGGCUUGAUCGCAGCAAGGGUAGAAAGUUGUAGCGGUGCGAUGCAGGGGGCUUACCCUUU
rnacentral:SRP_RNA from 1 species